AAAUGGUUCUAUUAUUCACGUUUUGUGACUGAAGUGUAAACUAAAGAUUACACAAUAAUUGCAGACCUACACAACUCAUUUACAAACCUACACAACUCAUUCACAAACCUUUUUGUGUCAAUAGGCUGUGGUCAAAUAAAGAGAGAGUCAACAAAUAGGCUAUUAAUAUUUAGUGUAUGAUUUAUUUCCUGUGAGCUUUUUUAUGCAAGUUUGUACAUUAGCAUGAAACUUACAGUGCAGUUUGCGUUUUUGGUGAAUUACCAGGUGUUUUCUUUAUUUUGUACAUUCUAAAUUGUCAAUGUUUGUUGAAUUUAACCUGAAGGGGCAUUAAAAACAAAUAAUCGCAAAAGUGCCCUCUGGUGGCGUAUAUAUGCGUUGCACCAUAAGCGAAGAUGAGCCUCGUGACGUGACAGUUUUUUUUCAAACUGAGGUGAGGAGUUCGGACUCCGGACCGGCAUUUGUUUGUACCCUGAGAUAACCAUGGUUAAUAAAUGAUCAGACACGUCACUGGCUUUAAAAUAUAAACCCCAUUGAUGCAAAAAGAUGCUGCAUGGAAUGACAAUGAGGUUUGGAACAGACUUGAAGAACAUGGAAACAUCUCUAAAUAAAAUGGCCCCAAACAUCAUCAGGAGUGCAAAAGAAGGAAGUAAAAAACAUCUCUACGCCAAUCUCAUUGGAGAGGAAACCACAGAAGGUCUGGUGAGGAAUGCUGCACUUAUGUUAUUGCCAGCAUUAUUUCAAGAAAAUCCCAGCUUCCUUGACUGUGUAAAUAGUGAACCCAAAGGUCCCACACCAACCAUAGUGUUCAACGACUCUCCUGAUCUUCUCAAAUCUGAAUGUAUCAACUUUAUAAUGGACAAUGUGAACUUAAUAUGUGGAAGACAUUGACAUCACAGGCUGUGGAAUGACUGUGUCACAGGUCGUAGAAGCGGACCGCCCCUGUCGCGGAUCACGCUCCUCCUAGUUCCACCUCGAGGAGGUCCCAAAGCACCCCAAUGACCAGACAAACCAGAGAUAAGUAAAAUAUAAAAAUAAAAACUUUAUUUAAAUUAUUUAAAACUAAAGUGGGGAAUGGGAAUCUAAAAAUCUCGCUUCUCGCCCUCAGGGGGAGUAUUACGGGGCCAGGGACGUUGGAGGGGUUUCCAUGUGACUCCAGCUGGAACACCGCUAGAGAGCGUAUCUGGGUGGGUUGGGCACACACCGUCGCGGCGGCCCCUGAUGGCAUCCACAAAGGUCCAAGAGCCUCCUAAGCUCCCAGCCGUAGCAGAACUACGUAUUUCAGCACCCGAACGACUAACAACCCAGCCGGCAUCUGCAGCGUAUAUCCAACGCGAUCAAACUUCACUCUGACAAGUAACUUCCUAUACACAACCACGCCGUCCUUUCGCCCGGACCAGCCCCGCACUCUUUCCGCCCGCUACCUAGCGGUCGCCGGAUCAGCAGAGCCUGCGACUCUUCGGACUCUGCGACCGUUACAGUAACUUCUACCUUCUCUCUUUAUAUCCUCCUCCAUGGCGUGGCUCGCCCAACCAUCGCUCGCCACGUCACUCACACAGCUGUGCCUUGUUUCAGUGAGUGCGGGGAUUCCCGGGGAACCCGGAAGUGCCGGUGUCUGUACAAACCGGUCCGGGCGGAACCUCUUCACUCUCCUUUUGGUUCCGCCCCGCAUAGUCACUCCGUGACAACUGUUUGCGUUUUUUUUUCUCCUCAAUGUUCAAUACCCUUUUGCCAUUAAGCACACAGUGACUUUAAUUUAUAAAAUAUAUGCUUAAGUUUUAAUACCUGUACAAAACAAAUGUACAAUCAACUUGUGUAAAUUGUCAUUUUAUUUAAUAGAUUGUUCAUGAAUUGUCUUUAAAUGCAUUGUGAUUUCGGUAACACUUUACAAUAAGGUUCAUUAGUUAACAUUAGUUAAUGUAUUAACUAACUUGAACAAACCACGAGCAAUACAUUUGUUACAGUAUUUAUUCAUCUUUGUUAAUGUUAGUUAAUAAAAAUUUAAGCUUUCAUUGCUUGUUCAUGUUAGUUCAGAGUGCAUUAACUAAUGUUAACAAGAUUUUAAUAAAGUAUAAGUAAUUGUUGAAAUUAACAUUAACAAAGAUUAAUAAAGGCUGUAUAAGUGCAGUUCAUUAUUAGUUCAUGUUAACUAAUGUAGCUAACUAAUGUUAACUAAUUAACCUUAUUGUAAAGUGCUACCGUGAUUUCUUUUCAUCAUUUCAGACACAUGUAAAAGUUACUAAAACUUAGUACUGCCUAUACUGUACAGUAUCUAUGCGUAAGGGAAAUAACUUGAACAAAAUUUUUUAUGUAUAGUGUAAUUAAUAGUUUAGCUGUUUAAUACAGAGAUGCAAUAUAUAUAUAUAUGUAUAUGUAUGUUUAUUAAAAAGUGAAAAUGCUUAAUGGAAAUAAUUAAAUAACUAAAUGGUUGAAUGUAAUGAGACAUUUUAAAUGUAAACCAAAGUUUUGCUGUCUAAUACAGAAUAAAGAGAUGUGAUUUUAAGUAAUUUUUAUAGAUUUAUAUUUCUGUAUAAUACAAUUAAUAAAUAGUAAACUUUUAUAA